rnacentral:misc_RNA from 1 species
CUUAAUCUUUGAGACAAGCAUAUGACUACUGGCAGGAUCAACCAGGUAGCAUUCCUGAACGACGUCGUCACCGCACGGCCAAGCCGAGACGAGAGCGACGGUCGUGCACCGUUGGUGUCUAAUGCAUGCUCGGGCAAUGAUAAGAGGCCGCGAGACCUCAAUGCCCUCAGUGCUUUCCGUAUCCAAGAGCUCGAGCAAUGCCCCGUUCACCGCGACGGCAUAGACGCGACGCGGGUAACAGGCCAUGCUGCGAGUUUCGUCUCGUGACCCGCCGGCCGAGCAGCGGACCGCUAAACGAACUAGGGACGUUGGGACAAACGAAUGCCAUCGUGUAGGUACACAACACAGGAAACCGGGGUCAUGGCCAAGGCUAUGCCGCACUUGGGCCAAAACUGAGGAGUCGUGAGAGGCACGUCGUCGCUGCCCGGACAGGGAUCCAACGCA